GUAUUGUGCUACUUGGGGCCUACUUGUGGUUCCUCAAAUUUCAUUUAUUAUUUGGGUGAAUUUUGGAAACCUAGUGCUUAAUAUUCGUGCAGCCAAGACAUUGAUGCUUUGGUUGCAGGUUUAGCGGAUAUAGAUGAAGACUGGCAUACUUAGCGUAUGAGAUGCUAUGAUUGGAGCAUAUCGCGACGGUCAUAAAUCACAGACUCAUAGGUAGUCCAUAUUUUGGAUAUUUGGAUUAUUGGCUCGUGUCCUACGUGGCAUAUGUAUU